UACGAAGGGGGCUAGCGUUGCUCGGAAUCACUGGGCGUAAAGGGUGCGUAGGCGGGUCUUUAAGUCAGGGGUGAAAUCCUGGAGCUCAACUCCAGAACUGCCUUUGAUACUGAAGAUCUUGAGUUCGGGAGAGGUGAGUGGAACUGCGAGUGCAGAGGUGAAAUUCGUAGAUAUUCGCAAGAACACCAGUGGCGAAGGCGGCUCACUGGCCCGAUACUGACGCUGAGGCGCGAAAGCGUGGGGAGCAAACAGG
rnacentral:rRNA from 1 species